rnacentral:rRNA from 1 species
CUUGCUCUGUGGAUCAGUGGCGAACGGGUGAGUAACACGUGAGCAAUCUGCCCCUGACUCUGGGAUAAGCGCUGGAAACGGCGUCUAAUACCGGAUACGAGCUGCGAUCGCAUGGUCAGUAUAUGGAAAGAAUUUCGGUCAGGGAUGAGCUCGCGGCCUAUCAGCUUGUUGGUGAGGUAAUGGCUCACCAAGGCGUCGACGGGUAGCCGGCCUGAGAGGGUGACCGGCCACACUGGGACUGAGACACGGCCCAGACUCCUACGGGAGGCAGCAGUGGGGAAUAUUGCACAAUGGGCGGAAGCCUGAUGCAGCAACGCCGCGUGAGGGAUGACGGCCUUCGGGUUGUAAACCUCUUUUAGCAGGGAAGAAGCGAAAGUGACGGUACCUGCAGAAAAAGCGCCGGCUAACUACGUGCCAGCAGCCGCGGUAAUACGUAGGGCGCAAGCGUUAUCCGGAAUUAUUGGGCGUAAAGAGCUCGUAGGCGGUCUGUCGCGUCUGCUGUGAAAACCCGAGGCUCAACCUCGGGCCUGCAGUGGGUACGGGCAGACUAGAGUGCGGUAGGGGAGAUUGGAAUUCCUGGUGUAGCGGUGGAAUGCGCAGAUAUCAGGAGGAACACCGAUGGCGAAGGCAGAUCUCUGGGCCGUAACUGACGCUGAGGAGCGAAAGGGUGGGGAGC